rnacentral:rRNA from 1 species
UAGCGAAGGCAGCUUACCAGGCUAUAUCUGACGCUGAAUCACGAGAGCGUGGGUAUCGAACAGGAUUAGAUACCCUGGUAGUCCACGCCGUAAACGAUGCUCACCGGCUCUAUGCGAUAAGACGGUAUGGGGCUAAUAGAAAUAAUUAAGUGAGCCACCUGGGGAGUACGUCGGCAACGAUGAAACUCAAAGGAAUUGACGGGGGCCCGCACAAGCGGAGGAACAUGUGGUUUAAUUCGAUGAUACGCGAGGAACCUUACCCGGGUUUAAAUGUAUGUUGCAUUAUGUAGAAAUACGUAUUUUCUUCGGAACUACAUACAAGGUGCUGCAUGGUUGUCGUCAGCUCGUGCCGUGAGGUGUCGGGUUAGGUCCCAUAACGAGCGCAACCCUUAUGAUUAGUUGCUAACGGAUAAAGCCGAGCACUCUAUUCACACUGCCACCGUAAGGUGCGAGGAAGGAGGGGAUGAUGUCAAAUCAGCACGGCCCUUAUAUCCGGGGCUACACACGUGUUACAAUGGUCGGUACAGAGGGUUGCAUUUACGUGAGUAACAGCUAAUCCCUAAAAUCGGUCUCAGUUCGGAUUGGAGUCUGCAACUCGACUCCAUGAAGUUGGAUUCACUAGUAAUCGCACAUCAGCCAUGGUGCGGUGAAUACGUUCCCGGGCCUUGUACACACCGCCCGUCAAGCCAUGGGAGCUGAGGGUGCCUGAAGUUCGUAACCGCGAGGAGCGACCUAGGGCAAACUUGGUAACUGGGGCUAAGUCGUAACAAGGUAG